rnacentral:siRNA from 1 species
UGUGAUUACACAAAACAACUCUGU